rnacentral:rRNA from 1 species
GAGUUUGAACCUGGCUCAGGAUGAACGCUGGCGGCGUGCUUAACACAUGCAAGUCGAACGGGGGCGUGAUGUGCGAGAGGGAUAGUUUACUAGACUUCAAACUUUUCACGCCCUAGUGGCGGACGGGUGAGUAACGCGUGGGUAACCUGCCAUAUACAGGGGGAUAACACUUAGAAAUAGGUGCUAAUACCGCAUAAGCGCACAGGGGCGCAUGCCCCGGUGUGAAAAACUCCGGUGGUAUAUGAUGGACCCGCGUCUGAUUAGCCAGUUGGCAGGGUAACGGCCUACCAAAGCGACGAUCAGUAGCCGGCCUGAGAGGGCGGACGGCCACAUUGGGACUGAGACACGGCCCAAACUCCUACGGGAGGCAGCAGUGGGGGAUAUUGCACAAUGGGGGAAACCCUGAUGCAGCGACGCCGCGUGAGUGAAGAAGUAUUUCGGUAUGUAAAACUCUAUCAGCAGGGAAGAAAAUGACAGUACCUGACCAAGAAGCCCCGGCUAACUACGUGCCAGCAGCCGCGGUAAUACGUAGGGGGCAAGCGUUAUCCGGAUUUACUGGGUGUAAAGGGAGCGUAGACGGUUACGUAAGUCUGGAGUGAAAGCCCGGGGCUCAACUCCGGGAGUGCAUUGGAAACUGUUGAUCUAGAGUGUCGGAGAGGCAAGCGGAAUUCCUAGUGUAGCGGUGAAAUGCGUAGAUAUUAGGAGGAACACCAGUGGCGAAGGCGGCUUGCUGG